GCUAAUUGUAUAUGAGCGCAAGCGGCGGGCUCUUGGGUCUUUUUUAGCGCCAUCUGCUCACGGCGCCGCCUCCCGCCGCCGCCCUGAGUCACUGCCUGCGCAGCUCCGGCCGCCUGGCUCCCCGUGCUAGCCAUCGAGACUUGGCAUUCGUACAACAUGGCAGACAUCGACAACAAAGAACAGUCUGAACUUGAUCAAGAUUUGGAUGAUGUUGAAGAAGUAGAAGAAGAAGAAACUGGUGAAGAAACAAAAAUCAAAGCGCGUCAGCUGACUGUUCAGAUGAUGCAAAAUCCUCAGAUUCUUGCAGCCCUUCAAGAAAGACUUGAUGGUCUGGUAGAAACACCAACAGGAUACAUUGAAAGCUUGCCUAGGGUAGUAAAAAGACGAGUGAAUGCUCUCAAAAACCUUCAAGUUAAAUGUGCACAGAUAGAAGCCAAAUUCUAUGAGGAAGUUCAUGAUCUUGAACGAAAAUAUGCUGUUCUCUAUCAGCCUCUAUUUGAUAAGCGAUUUGAGAUCAUUAAUGCCAUUUAUGAACCUACGGAAGAAGAAUGUGAAUGGAAACCAGAUGAGGAAGAUGAAAUUUCGGAGGAGCUAAAAGAAAAGGCGAAGAUUGAAGAUGAGAAAAAAGAUGAAGAAAAAGAAGACCCCAAGGGAAUUCCUGAAUUUUGGUUGACUGUUUUUAAGAAUGUUGACUUGCUCAGUGAUAUGGUUCAGGAACAUGAUGAACCUAUUCUGAAGCACUUGAAGGAUAUUAAAGUGAAAUUCUCAGAUGCUGGUCAGCCUAUGAGUUUUGUCUUAGAAUUUCACUUUGAACCCAAUGAAUAUUUCACAAACGAAGUGUUGACAAAGACAUAUAGGAUGAGGUCAGAACCUGAUGAUUCUGAUCCCUUUUCUUUUGAUGGACCAGAAAUUAUGGGUUGUACAGGGUGCCAGAUAGAUUGGAAAAAAGGGAAGAAUGUCACUUUGAAAACCAUUAAGAAGAAGCAGAAACACAAGGGACGCGGAACUGUUCGUACUGUGACCAAAACAGUUUCCAAUGACUCUUUCUUUAAUUUUUUUGCCCCUCCUGAAGUUCCUGAGAGUGGAGAUCUGGAUGAUGAUGCUGAAGCCAUCCUUGCUGCAGACUUUGAAAUUGGUCACUUUUUACGUGAGCGUAUAAUCCCUAGAUCAGUGUUAUACUUUACCGGAGAAGCUAUUGAAGAUGAUGAUGAUGAUUAUGAUGAAGAAGGUGAAGAAGCGGAUGAGGGUUAUCAGCUCUUUGAAGAAGUCAAAAGCUGCAGUAAACUUUUUCAACGUUGGCUGCAGUAAAUCUUUUCAAUAAAACCUGUCUGGAUGUCUCAAGUUGUGUUGGGAAAUUUUUCAUAUUAGAAGCUUUCAAAUUAAAUUGCAUUGUCUCCAAACUCUGUAAUCAUGAAAAUCUGUUGACUUAUAGAGUAACUUGUAUUAAAUUCUCCCUACAUUAUGAGCCAUUUCUUCCUACUAUGUACCUACUUCAUGGAUGCAUUUUGAACUUUAAUAUAGGAAGGGGAAGAAGAAGGAGAUGAGGAAAAUGAUCCAGACUAUGACCCAAAGAAGGAUCAAAACCCAGCAGAGUGCAAGCAGCAGUGAAGCAGGAUGUAUGUGGCCUUGAGGAUAAACCUGCACUGUAAUAGCCUAAACACAACUAUUAUUUACUUACAGCCUUAUGUUUUUGUAGAUUGAGAAGUUUUUUUUUUUUUUUUUAAAGGAAAGGAACUGAUAUUUUAAAAGACCAAUUUGUUCUACUUAGCAUUUUAACUAAUUUUUCUGCCAGAUAUAUUGAACGCACAAAUUCUCUCAUGCAUGUUCAUUCAUUGCUACAUAGUUUGGUUCUUCUUGGAGUAAGUAGACAUGUAAUUACUAGAUUACAGUUAUGAACAUGAACAGAACUGUGAAAUGAAACAUACUUUUUUGUUUGCUGAUUUCUUUCCUGAAGAACCAAAGUAUUUUUUUCAGCUGAUGGUUGAAUGGGUUUAAGUUUGCUUGCACUAGCCAGUGCCUUUCAUUGCUUUGUUACAGAAAUAGAGUGACUUAUACCAAGAUAAUUAAUCAUUUAAGAAACAAACCUUGUCAAAACAAGUAUAUGGUUAAGAAUUUCCAGUAAGACCACACCUGAUAACUUAGAUUGUUAAUCAGUUUUUGUAUUUCAGGUGAGAUAGCUACUAUAAAAGACACCUUAUUAACUCAUAGUAUGGUUAUUGGUUACCACAGGGAAGUGAAUAAAACUUAGUAUUUUCUGAAGUAAAGCCUCAUUAUUUUAACUGUACUUUUAAAUUUAACUUCUAUUAACUAAGAAUCUUUUCUUUGUGGUAGGGUCUACCUUCUGCUUCCCUGGAAAGGAUGAAUUUACAUCAUUUGACAAGCCUAUUUCAAGUUUUUUGUUUGUUUGUUUGCUUGUUUUUGUUUUUACAGCCUAAAAUAAAAAUGUCAAAUAUAAUUUUAGUUCUCAGAAGAUAAUGUCUUAAUUUUGUACUAAUUCAGGUAGCACAGGCCUAGCUUGAAUUAAGUUAUGUACCCAGUUUGCCAUAUUAUUGAAGAAAAAGGUUUCCAACUUUGAAAGAGGUACUACAUCUACUAAUAAAGUGUGAAAAAAAAAGAGAGAAUCUUAAAUGAUUUAAUGUUUUUAAUAAAAAUUAAAAAGGUUAAAUUUCAUUUCCUUUGGUUAUAACCAUAGAGAAGGUCCCAGGCCUUCUACAAUGAAUUUCUAAAUCUUAGAGCUUAAAGUACGAAUAUGUCAUUUACUUACCCAUGCCUUUUACUUUACUAUGUAUUAAAAUGGGUAGUACUGUUUACUUAACUACCUCACACAUGUGUUAAGGCAUAUUAAGUUAAAUUUUAUGAAAUGUUUCUCAAUUUCAUUAAAAGCUCAAAAAUUUGGACUUAUUUUUACCACAAGUAUGUGAUAUUCAGCAUUUUAUUUAUGCCAAGGUUUGAUAAUUAAACUGGAAAACAAAGGUUACAUACCUUUAUUCUGGAUCUGCUCCAGCAACACUUGCAGAUCUUUGUGUAGCUCCUAUUUCAGUAGAAGUGGAUUCAUGAACAACAACUGUUUCACAGAAGUCCAAGGAUUUUCUUUCCAGCUAUUUUAAUUAUGACCAUAUUAAAUACUACAGACAUUAUGGGACUAAGACCAUUUUUAGCAGAGGGAAAUGCCAUUAAUUAGAGCUAUAGAGCCACAUUUAAAAUACCUCAGGCUAAUUACUGUUACUUUUGGGGAUGAACUUUUGACUGUGAGGGUGGACUAACAAUUGUAGUUUUAGGAAGACCUAGAGUUCCUGCUCUUAAUGAAAUUACAUUGGGUUAAUUUUUAGAGGUAUACAGCUUAAGGUCUUGGAAUAUAAAAGUAUAUAGUACUAUCCAUUUUUUUAUUUGUAUAGUACUAUCCAUUCCUCUCCUGAGAUUUUAACUUACUACUGGAAAUCCUUAACCAAUUGCAGUAGUUUGUAGGGAAAAAAUGUCAUGAGAAUAUCUCUUUUUCCUCUUUACUUUCAAAAUGAUUUUGGUUGUUUUGAUUAGACAUUCUUGCUGGUUUUUGUUUUUGUACCCAUAGCUCAUCUGAACACAGCUUUUUAUGAACUUAAAAAUUUUAAUCUAAAGAUAGAAUCCCAUUUUUGAUGAACUUUAAAAAAGUAGCAGAAUCACUACUUUCCCCCCAACCCCAUUCCUUUAGGAAAUAGCUAUUGCCAAAGUGAAGAGGUAGAUAUUGUUUCAUCUUGUUGUAAAAGGGGGAAUGGUUUGCAGAGGAGUCAUUUCUUAAUAAAGUUGGAGUUUCAAGGGAUAUCAGUGUUCAUCUUUGCCAUCUCUUUAGUUUCAAAAUGGUUCUAUUCCAUUCUAAAAAUCUGAACUGUGUAAUUUGAAAUCCUUAAUAAAAUUUGCAUUUAAUUUUA